GAAAGUGGAAAAGAUUUUUUUUUAAGUUUAUUUAUUUAUUUUUGAGAGAGAUCGCGUGAGAGAGUGGGAGUGGAGGUAGGGCAGAGAGAGGGAGAGAGAGAAUCCCACCAGCGCAGAGCCCAAUGCAGGCCCGAUGGGGGACCCAAACCCACCAACGAAGAGAUCGUGAUCCCAGUGGAAGUCAGACACUUACCCAACUGAGCCACCCAGGCAGGCCGAAGGUGGAAAAUAUUUGACCCCGGCAGUCUGGUUCCAGAUCCUGGGCUGACUGUUCUACAUCACAACGGAAGGCCCAUAGCUCCCUGGUUACCCCUGUGUAACCAGCAUUGAGCACAGUGCUUGGCAGGGUGUAAGCAUCAAUAAACACUUGUCGAAUGAAGAUACACCUGAAUGAUCCCUCCAUACUAGGCAGUAUGUAUGUCUUCAUAGUGCUCGGUGCUUCAGAAAGACGGAUGAACAAUUCCGGGUAUUAUAAUGAGUCCAGGUUUUAUUAGCACCUUGGCAUCUCCCUGCAGUUAGUCUCUGCUUCUCAUUCCAGGUAAGGACAUGCCUUGGCUUCCCCUGUUCCAUUUUUCUAGUUCUCGGCAUACCGUCUUUAUCUUUAGACUCAGGCAGCUGAAUCAGCUAGGGGGAAAAGUAUCCAAAAUGUAAUGUGCCUGUCCUUGCUGCCUUUACAUUAUUACUCUUAAACAGGUGGAAACACCGAGACAAAACAGAAAAGUCAAGAAUGGAGUGUUUCAUUCUUCCCCAGACAGCAAUUCAUACAGAUGUCUACUGGGUAUGCUUCACACCCAGUGCAGAGCCCAAUGCAGGGCUUGAACUCAUAACCCUGAGAUCAAGACCUGGAUGCUUAACCAACUGAGCCACACAGGUGCCCCACCCAGGUACAGAUUUGAAACCAAGGCUGCUCACUAUUUACAAAGAAGAUGACAAUGUAGUUUCUGCAUACUAUAGGAGAACUCUAAGUGUUUGAGGGAUGGGUUGAAAAUAGUAUGAAGAAGGAAACACUUGUUUGAAACUAAUGUCACUGUGUUCAUCAUGUUUUUUGUUUCCCGUGUCUUAUGGCGUUUUAAUAUUUGGGAGGCCUUCCAGCCCCAGGGAGAGACUGCCCCUCCCGGUGCUAGCUACUUCCUGAGGAUAAUGGCAACCUGCCUAGAACUAUGCCUUCUGUAUGCACGUAUAGUCUCGUGUGUAUCCCCUCAACGCUCUCCCUGACUCUCCGACAGCACACCAGUGUUAACCCCGACCUAAGUCAUCCCAGGGCCAGGUACCAGUCAAUCAGAGAUCAUCCCUAUAGCCCCCAAACUGGCCUGAAUUAUUCAAACUGGCUAAUUCUAAAAUGUUUGCUCUGCCCAGCCUUGACUUUCCCACACCAACCCCGAUAAAGGCGCUGGCCUAGGCUUUCCCCUGGCUUCUGCUUCUGUGUCCUAACUACAACCUGGUACCCACCCUGUGACCCUGCGUUGGUGUGGUGGGCCCCCUUCUCUGUGGUAACGUAAGUAAUAAACUCUUUUUUCAAUGGCAUUGACCUCGCCAUUUCGUCAUUCCGUUGCUUCCAUAAAUUAAAACCUCAUGGGUACAAAUGAGACAAUGAUCUGCACUCAGUGUUUGUUGAGUGCGGAAACUGGGAGAAUUCCCUGGCCUCCAUGUUCUUUGUAGGUAUGGUUGGCUCACCUGCUUGGGACACCUUACAAAUGAUAAUCCAGACUUCUAACUCAGUCCCCACGCAGGCCACGUAGCUUUAUAGCAUUUCAUGAUCACGCAUCCAACCCCGAGACUGGGUCAAAUUCCCAAAAUAAAUGUUUUAUCUUAAAGUAUAAUGUGACAGGCAUGUGGGGAUAGAGGUGGAGAAUGACAGAUAAGCACUUCAGCUUGUUAUUUGGGAGCCAUUAGUCAUAGGACAUGCCCUGCUGAAGCCAGGUCCCUAGUAUUGUCUUCCCAUAUAAAACUGAAUUCAUAAAGAAGACAUCCAGAUGGCCAACUGACACAUGAAAAAAUGCCCAACAUCGCUCUCAUCA